GACGAACGCUGGCGGCGUGCCUAAUACAUGCAAGUUGAGCGCUGAAGGUCGGCUCUUGUACCGACUGGAUGAGCAGCGAACGGGUGAGUAACGCGUGGGGCCUCUGCCUUUGAGCGGGGGACAACAUUUGGAAACGAAUGCUAAUACCGCAUAAAAACUUUAAACACAAGUUUUAAGUUUGAAAGAUGCAAUUGCAUCACUCAAAGAUGAUCCCGCGUUGUAUUAGCUAGUUGGUGAGGUAAAGGCGCACCAAGGCGAUGAUACAUAGCCGACCUGAGAGGGUGGUUGGCCACAUUGGGAGUGAGACACGGCCCAAACGCCUACAGGAGGCAGCAGUAGGGAAUCUUGGGGAAUGGACGAAAGUCUGACCGAGCAACGCCGCGUGAGGGAGGAGGGUUGUCGGAUCGUGGAACUCUGUUGGUAGGGAAGAACGUUGGUGAGAGUGGAAAGCUCAUCAAGUGACGGUAACUACCCAAAAAGGAACGGCUAACUACGUG
rnacentral:rRNA from 1 species